rnacentral:misc_RNA from 1 species
CUGCUGUUAUGGCGGACUGCCGAUGUAUUUUUCAAACCCAUUUACUUAAUACUGAACUAUACUCCGAGAACGAAAGUUUUUGGUUUUAAUCCAUAACAACUUUCAGCAGUGGAUGUCUAGGCUCGCACAUCGAUGAAGAACGCUGCGAACUGCGAUACGUAAUGCGAAUUGCAGAAUUCAGUGAGUCAUCGAAAUUUUGAACGCACAUUGCACUUUCGGGUUAUGCCUGGAAGUAUGCUUGUAUCAGUGUCCGUACAUCAAACUUGCCUUUCUUUUUUUGUGUAGUCAAGAUUAGAGAUGGCAGAAUGUGAGGUGUCUCGCUGGCUCCCUCUUCGGAGGAGAAGACGCGAGUCCCUUUAAAUGUACGUUCGCUCUUUCUUGUGUCUAAGAUGAAGUGUGACUUUCGAACGCAGUGAUCUGUUUGGAUCGCUCUGCGCGAGUGGGCGACUUCGGUUAGGACAUUAAAGGAAGCAACCUCUAUUGGCGGUAUGUUAGGCUUCGGCCCGACUUUGCAGCUGACGGGGUGUUGUUUUCUGUACUUUCCUUGAGGUGUACCUGUCUUGUGUGGGGCAAUGGUCUGGGCAAAUGGUUGUUGUGUAGUAGAAUUUUGCUGCUCUUGGGCGCCCUUUAUGGGUAAAGAAGGCAACACCAAUUUGGGACAGUCUUGUGAGAGUUUCGGCUCUUGCAGGCGCU